AUUGAACGCUGGCGGAAUGCUUUACACAUGCAAGUCGAGCGGCAGCACGGGGGCAACCCUGGUGGCGAGCGGCGAACGGGUGAGUAAUACAUCGGAACAUGCCCAGUCGUGGGGGGAUAACACUUCGAAAGAAGUGCUAAUACCGCAUACGUCCUGAGGGAGAAAGCGGGGGAUCGCAAGACCUCGCGCGAUUGGAGUGGCCGAUGUCAGAUUAGCUAGUUGGUGGGGUAAAGGCCUACCAAGGCAACGAUCUGUAGCUGGUCUGAGAGGAUGAUCAGCCACACUGGGACUGAGACACGGCCCAGACUCCUACGGGAGGCAGCAGUGGGGAAUUUUGGACAAUGGGGGCAACCCUGAUCCAGCCAUUCCGCGUGAGUGAAGAAGGCCUCGGUUGGUAAGACGUCUUUCUACGCGAGAACGAAACGGACGAGUACUAAU
rnacentral:rRNA from 1 species